rnacentral:tRNA from 1 species
GCCCUUGUAGCCCAAUGGAAGAGGCGCCGGAUUUAGGAUCCGGUCAGUCCAGGUUCGAGUCCUGGCAGGGGCACC